rnacentral:rRNA from 1 species
ACUCCUACGGGAGGCAGCAGUGGGGAAUAUUGCACAAUGGGCGCAAGCCUGAUGCAGCCAUGCCGCGUGUGUGAAGAAGGCCUUCGGGUUGUAAAGUACUUUCAGCAGUGAGGAAGGCGGGUACGUUAAUAGCGUGCUUGUUUGACGUUAGCUGCAGAAGAAGCACCGGCUAACUCCGUGCCAGCAGCCGCGGUAAUACGGAGGGUGCGAGCGUUAAUCGGAAUUACUGGGCGUAAAGCGCAUGCAGGUGGUUUGUUAAGUCAGAUGUGAAAGCCCGGGGCUCAACCUCGGAAUUGCAUUUGAAACUGGCAGACUAGAGUACUGUAGAGGGGGGUAGAAUUUCAGGUGUAGCGGUGAAAUGCGUAGAGAUCUGAAGGAAUACCGGUGGCGAAGGCGGCCCCCUGGACAGAUACUGACACUCAGAUGCGAAAGCGUGGGGAGCAAACAGGAUUAGAUA